AUCGCUUCUCGGCCUUUUGGCUAAGAUCAAGUGUAGAAAUAGCUCUUUUCAACAUAGUGAAAUGGGUUUAUUGUAUAUUCUUUUUUGUUUGUUUAUUGUGUAUUCUGAAGCUCUGUGGCCCUCU
rnacentral:snRNA from 1 species